GUCUAUGUUCCUACCACUCUGAACACCUAACCAGGGUCAGGCCUGGUUAGUACUUGGAUAGGAGACCACCGAGAAAUACUGGGUACUGUAGACU
rnacentral:rRNA from 1 species